ACCAAUUCUGGGGGAUAAAUUGUUCCUCUUGGGUAUAAUGGCUUGGACGCUACAUUAAUCUUUAGUGUGGAUAUCCGGAUUUAUGGUUUCUUCAAUACCAUUUGGAUCGUGAAACGCCACAUACAUUU